rnacentral:rRNA from 1 species
UAGGGAAUCUUCCACAAUGGACGCAAGUCUGAUGGAGCAACGCCGCGUGAGUGAAGAAGGUUUUCGGAUCGUAAAGCUCUGUUGUUGGUGAAGAAGGAUAGAGGCAGUAACUGGUCUUUAUUUGACGGUAAUCAACCAGAAAGUCACGGCUAACUACGUGCCAGCAGCCGCGGUAAUACGUAGGUGGCAAGCGUUGUCCGGAUUUAUUGGGCGUAAAGCGAGCGCAGGCGGAAUGAUAAGUCUGAUGUGAAAGCCCACGGCUCAACCGUGGAACUGCAUCGGAAACUGUCAUUCUUGAGUGCAGAAGAGGAGAGUGGAAUUCCAUGUGUAGCGGUGGAAUGCGUAGAUAUAUGGAAGAACACCAGUGGCGAAGGCGGCGCUCUGGUCUGCAACUGACGCUGAGGCUCGAAAGCAUGGGUAGCGAACAGG